GACGAACGCUGGCGGCGUGCCUAAUACAUGCAAGUCGAACGCAGUGGGGACGGGUGAGUAACACGUGGGUAACCUCCCAUAAGACGGGAUAACACUUGGAAACAGGUGCUAAACCGAUAAUGUUGGAUGGACGCGCGGUGCAUGAGCUAGUUGGUGAGGUAACGGCUCACCAAGGCCACGAUGCAUAGCCGACCUGAGAGGGUGAUCGGCCAAACUGGGACUGAGACACGGCCCAGACUCCUACGGUAGGCAGCAGUAGGGAAUCGUCGGCAAUGGACGAAAGUCUGAUCCAGCAACGCCGCGUGUGUGAAGAAGGUUUUCGGAUCGUAAAACACUGUUGUUAGGGAGGCGGUAUCUAACCAGAAAGCAACGGCUAACUACGUGCCAGCAGCCGCGGUAAUUC
rnacentral:rRNA from 1 species